UACGGAGGGUGCAAGCGUUAAUCGGAAUUACUGGGCGUAAAGCGUGCGCAGGCGGUUUGUUAAGUCUGUUGUGAAAUCCCCGAGCUCAACUUGGGAAUUGCAAUGGAUACUGGCAGGCUGGAGUAUGGUAGAGGAAGGUGGAAUUCCCGGUGUAGCAGUGAAAUGCGUAGAGAUCGGGAGGAACACCAGUGGCGAAGGCGGCUCACUGGACCGUAGUUGACGCUGAGGUGCGAAAGCGUGGGGAGCAAACAGG
rnacentral:rRNA from 1 species